GGUGGUGGAGGGAACCUUCCUUUAUAAUCUUUAGCUUAGUGGUUAUGGGAUGUGGGAGACCCCCAGUUCAAGUCCCUCCUCUGCCUGAUGAGGAGAAGGAAUUUUAACAGGGAUCUACAUCGCUCAGCGACUGUCCAGUUUGGCCGAUGUACAUAGCAGAGAGGCAUUGCUGGCACGUGAUGGCGUAUAUAACAUCGGUGGAUGUGCAGAAUUCCCCCGGGGUAAAGGAUAUUGACUUUUGAAGGAGAUGCUAAAAUGAGAAGCUGUGACCAAGUUCUGUCAUAGACCAGGCAGUGCCCUGAGUGAUCCAGAAGCUGGUGCUUCCUUAAAAUGCCUGCAAGGUGUGAUCAUCCAACAGUUCCCCUUUCAGGAAGAUGAUUGCCAUAUUACACGC